rfam:Macleaya cordata isolate BLH2017 scaffold6641, whole genome shotgun sequence.
GGGUGCGAUCAUACCAGCACUAAUGCACUGUAUCCCAUUAGAACUCCGCAGUUAAGCGUGCUUGGGCUAGAGUAGUACUAGGAUAGGUGACCUCCUGGGAAUUCCUCGGGUUGCACCCC